UCUCUCUUGAUGUGACUCCUCAUUGCGCCACCUGCGGCGGCUGAUUCAGGCGAUGUCCGGCGAAUCCCGCCAUCGCGAAGCACAGCCCGACGUCCCCUCACACCGUGGCGCCCUUCCAUGCGGCUAGAUCCGGCGGUAGCGGCCACCAAAGCCCACCCGGCCGCGACCUUUCCCCGAUGGCUAGGGCUUCGGGCGUCGGCUCAGGCGCCGGUGGCCAUGGCGUCGUCUCGUCCGGUUAUUCAGGUGGAGGUAGUAGCUUGCUAAUGGUGGCUUUCACGUCCAGCGCAAAUACUAGUGGACGUGGACCUGUUGGGGAAAGCACGUACAUCUUUGUGUUUAGUGAGCAGGUUUCCGAAGAAAGAAAUACUCAAUGCCAUUCGGUGGUUUUCAAUGUGCCAGUGUCUACAUUCAUAGUACAUCAUUAAGUUUUACCUUCAACUAAGACUAUUUCCGUUGAGGUGAUUAUUUAUUUAUUCCUUUAUUGCUUAGAUUAGCUCUAACCAUUUUUCAGCCUUCUUUUCUGCUCUUAUUCAACUAUUUAUGUACUCCUAUCUCACCAAUUGUGUACCUAUUGUUGUGUGUAAUUUAAUGUGAGGCGCCGCACUUAUCCGUUCCAGCACUGCCGAGAUGGAGGCGACAUCACGGACGGCUGGAGCUGCGAGUAGAUUUGUCCAAGAUACAGCAGUGUUCGUAGUCAUAGUUCUGAUUCAAAAGAUAUACGGAUGAUUAUAUGGGUGCGUGGCAAGUAUACUGCAAUGAUGAUGAUGAUGUUCCCGGUUCACGAUGAAGACGAUGAUGACUGUUCUCAGUUUUAGUUUAGUUGUAGGGAUGCUUUUCCUGUUGGAUGAUGUUCCUUGGUUAAGUUUUAGUUUAAGUUGUAGGGAUGUUGAUGGAUGAUUUCAGUUUAAGUUUUGCUGUCAAGAGAAUAUUCAGGUUAUGCAUCACAUUUGGAUGUUAUUCCUCCUGUAAUAUCAACUAUUGUAAUCCCACAGUUGUUUUCAAUAUAUGAUUUCUUCC